CCUACGGGUGGCAGCAGUGAGGAAUAUUGGUCAAUGGGCGGGAGCCUGAACCAGCCAAGUCGCGUGAGGGACGACGGUCCUAUGGAUUGUAAACCUCUUUUGUCGGGGAACAAAGGCGCCCACGGGUGGGCGGAUGAGUGUACCCGAAGAAAAAGCAUCGGCUAACUCCGUGCCAGCAGCCGCGGUAAUACGGAGGAUGCGAGCGUUAUCCGGAUUUAUUGGGUUUAAAGGGUGCGCAGGCGGAAGAUCAAGUCAGCGGUAAAAUUGAGAGGCUCAACCUCUUCGAGCCGUUGAAACUGGGGGCCUUGAGUGGGCGAGAAGAAGGCGGAAUGCGUGGUGUAGCGGUGAAAUGCAUAGAUAUCACGCAGAACCCCGAUUGCGAAGGCAGCCUUCCGGCGCCCUACUGACGCUGAGGCACGAAAGUGCGGGGAUCGAACAGGAUUAGAUACCCCUGUAGUC
rnacentral:rRNA from 1 species